GAUAAAAUAGCUCUACUUGUCAGUCUUGUACAAAUGGUGUAAUUUUGCAGCAGGUAGGCUAGCAAAAAUAUGUUUGUGUUAGCUAACGUUACCUGCCUGACGGCAAAUGCUGCUUGUAACGAACAGUUAGUGCAACUUUUUUUUUUCGAACGGACGGAAUAUGUUUACUGUAAUAUGUUUUUAAACGGGAUAAGGAAGACACAGAUCUGUUCCAGAAUCACUGUUUAUCGUAUUUAAUGACAUGACAUUGCUGUAGCUUUGUAAUAGGUUUUGAUGAAAGUGGCAUAGCAAAUAGCAUGCUAUACUAUUCCACCGUGAUAAUCUAUUUACCAAAUGGGGGUUAGGAAAACCACACAAUAAAUUCCGUGCAUCAAACAUUAGCUUGGGAUGUUUUUAAGCAUUGGUAAGCAGCUGCCUGCAUCCCUUCCCUUCUAAUAUCAAAAUAUGGAAAUGCUAACAUAUCUUUAAGUUUUCGGUAAACUUUAUAAUAAGUAAAAAUACUGUUUGCUAACAGUUACAUGACAAUUAACUAAAGAUUAAUUAACUAUCAAUUUACCAUCUAUUAAUGAUUGUUAUUAUAAAGUGUUACCAUCUUUUCUUUCUCCCUCAAGGUGCUUUGCUUAAAUUUCUCAGCCCUCAGGCUCUUCCUAAGGAUACCUCCACUGAUGAAGCAACACCAUCAACUUCAUCCUCAACAUCAACAGAUGCAUCACUUCUCAGUGCUGAUGUUUCCUCUAUAGCACAAGCUACAACGUCAAUACCAUCUCUCACAGUGGAAGACACUGCAUCCAGAACAGAAAUUGAGUCUGCACCACUUCCCAACACUGAGGUUUCCUCUACAGCUCAAGGUACCACAAGCACUGUCAUUAUAGCUGAUGACCCUGCGCAGUGGCCAGCAGUCCUGACUGAUAGUGUGUGCUGUCAAAUUGUUAAAAAAGGACCAGUGCAAGUCACAAACAUUGUUUUCCCCCAAAAUUCUGAGAAUCCACCUCGAAGAUUCACAAAUGACAAUUACAUGAGAAGCAUGAAUGUCAAUUGAGAGCUUAUGGCACUUAUGUCAAUUGAGCGUGAUGCUCGUGUAAGGGAAACAGGUCAAUUUAGCUCAAAGGGAAUCAUUUAAGAUUUUAAAGGGAAUUUGAACAGAAUCACUGUUUCACGGCUGAUCACUGAAACGGCCAGCGAUUCACUGAACGAGCCGUUUAACAUCAAA
ensembl:lncRNA